rnacentral:rRNA from 1 species
UACGUAGGGGGCGAGCGUUGUCCGGAUUUAUUGGGCGUAAAGGGCUCGUAGGCGGCCAACUAAGUCAGACGUGAAAUCCCUCGGCUUAACCGGGGAACUGCGUCUGAUACUGGAUGGCUUGAGAUUGGGAGAGGGAUGCGGAAUUCCAGGUGUAGCGGUGAAAUGCGUAGAUAUCUGGAGGAACACCGGUGGCGAAGGCGACAUCCUGGACCAACACUGACGCUGAGGAGCGAAAGCGUGGGGAGCAAACAGG